CGGGUGAGUAACACGUAUGCAAUCCACCUGUAACAGGGGGAGUAACCCGGAGAAAUCCGACUAAUACCCAUAAUAUGGGCGCUCCGCAUGGAGAGUCCAUUAAAGAGAGCAAUCUUGGUUACAGACGAGCAUGCGCUCCAUUAGCCAGUUGGCGGGGUAACGGCCCACCAAGGCGACGAUGGAUAGGGGCUCUGAGAGGAAGGUCCCCCACAUUGGAACUGAGACACGGUCCAA
rnacentral:rRNA from 1 species